rnacentral:rRNA from 1 species
CACUCUGAUGCAGCCAUGCCGCGUGCAGGAAGACGGCCCUAUGGGUGGUAAACUGCUUUUAUGAUGAGGAAGAAACCUUUUCACGUGUGAGAAGCUGACGGUACUAUAAGAAUAAGGACCGGCUAACUCCGUGCCAGCAGCCGCGGUAAUACGGAGGGUCCGAGCGUUAUCCGGAAUCAUUGGGUUUAAAGGGUCCGUAGGCGGGAAUCUAAGUCAGUGGUGAAAUCUUGCAGCUCAACUGUAAAAUUGCCAUUGAUACUGGAUUUCUUGAAUUAGUGUGAAGUGAUUAGAAUGUGUAGUGUAGCGGUGAAAUGCAUAGAUAUUACACAGAAUACCAAUUGCGAAGGCAGAUCACUAACACUAUAUUGACGCUGAGGGACGAAAGCGUGGGGAGCGAAC